rnacentral:rRNA from 1 species
CCCUUAGAUAUCCUAGGCUGCACGCGAGCUACAAUGGUAUAUAUAAAAGGUUGCUGCUCUGAGAAGACUGGCAAUACCCUGAUAUAUAUCGUAUUUGGAAUAGAUUUUUGUAAUUAUCAAUCUUGAACGAGGAAUUCCUAGUAAAAAUAUUUCAUCAUAAUGUUUUGAUUGUGUCCCUGCCCUUUGUACACACCGCCCGUCGCUCCUACCGAUUGAAUAUUCCGGUGAGAAGAUGGGAGAAAAAUCUUUUGAUUUUUUGAAUAUUUUUGAACCUUGAUAUUUAGAGGAAGGAGAAGUCGUANCA